rnacentral:lncRNA from 10 species
GGAACCCCAGACGCCGGGCCCAGCGCACCGUGCGCUGGGGGGGAGCCCGGCCGCGCCCCCCGCCGCGGCCCCCGCUGACUCAGCGCGCAGCUAUGCGGGCCUCGCCUCACCCGCGCCCAAAUAAUAGCGACCGAGCUCGGCGCCCGCGAGGGGCCGCAGGGCCGGGGGUUUCGAGGCGAGCCUGAGAGGGGGCCCUGGGUGUCUGGGAUUCCGAAUUAGCGGAGGCGGGUGGAAUCCUAGUCCUGGGGCAGGAGGGCCUGGGAUCCUGAAAGCGUUUCUGCCCGGCUUAGACACUAACCACUUCAAGAGAACGGGAGAGCACCGGAAAAAGGCUUUCCAGCCGCAGGCCUUCGCGGGGUCUUCUCCUUUUGGGGGGCGGAAGAGGGGUGGUUAUCGGGACCGUUCCGCCGCAUUCCUGCCCUCUCGGCGGCCGGUGCCAUCGCUUAGAUCCGCCCAGGGCGCAAUCCGAAAAUUAUGUGCCAAGAGCUAUAAAACCGUUCAUAGAGCCCCUUUGACCCAGUAAACCCAUUUAAGGAAGUACAUUUCCAAGGAAAUGAUCCAAAGGGCGAAGAAGGGGGAGAACUUGCAGAAAGAUGUUAACAGCAGGGCUAUUCACAAUGUUCGUGAUGACCAAAACCUGGGAAUGGGCCCAGUUGUCCAACAAUUGAGUAACCCAAACAGGCGCCUUCACAUUAACAGCAAGAAUCCUGGCAGGUGAUGUAAUGAGGACUCAUAUAUAUGCACAUGGAGUGAAUAAAUGAAUUAAGGAAUGGAUGGGUGAAAACAACGAACUGUGAAUGGUCCAGCCAUCACCAAUAAGACACGUAACAACUUUUCCCAUCUCGCUUCACGCUGCCAGGCAACGCAGGCUGGCAUUGUUGUAGUGAGUUGCUUCUGUUCCACACAAGCCAGGAUUUAAUAACAGAAUAAAGGAAUGAACUCGCA